AUUGAACGCUGGCGGCAGGCCUAACACAUGCAAGUCGAACGAGUGGCGGACGGGGGAGAAUGUUUGGGAAACUGCCCCGUGGAGGGGGAUAACUUACUGAAACGGGUGGCAAUACCCCAAACCCUCGGAUUUGCCCAGAUGGGAUUAGCUAGUGGGUGGGGUAACGGCUCACCUAGGCGACGAUCCCUAGCUGGUCUGAGAGGAUGACCAGCCACACUGGAACUGAGACACGGUCCAGACUCCUACGGGAGGCAGCAGUGGGGAAUAUUGCACAAUGGGCGCAAGCCUGAUGCAGCCAUGCCGCGUGUAUGAAGAAGGCCUUCGGGUUGUAAAGUACUUUCAGCGAGGAGGCGUUACUCGCAGAAGAAGCACCGGCUAACUCCGUGCCAGCAGCCGCGGUAAUAC
rnacentral:rRNA from 1 species